CCAGAGCCACAACCACAGCAGCAGCCGAGCCGUCCCAGAACGCCAACCCCGCCACCUUCUCCCACUUUGAAGGAUCCAUGGAGGAAAAUAGCCUGGGGGUGAGUUCACUUUAUUACCAUUUAUAUUUGAUGUGU